rnacentral:rRNA from 1 species
GCAACUCGCCUGCAUGAAGCUGGAAUUGCUAGUAAUCGCGGAUCAGCAAGCCGCGGUGAAUACGUUCCCGGGCCUUGUACACACCGCCCGUCACACCAUGAGAGUCGGGAACACCCGAAGUCCGUAGUCUAACCGCAAGGGGGCGCGGCCGAAGGUGGGUCCGGUAAUUGGGGUGAAGUCGUAACAAGGUAAC